GAAAAGAUGAAUAUAAUCUCAAUGGGGAUGGAGAAUGUACCCCCAGGAAGCCUUCCUGCCUCUUGACCCACCGUCAAUGAACUUUGGGCAGACAGCAGUGUCUCUACACCCCAGCAGGAGAAAGAAAUUUGGUCUGGGCUUACUUUUCAAAUAAUACAUUUCAAAGGUUUACUGGGCUAUAAAAACAGGGGUUCUGAAUCUCUAAUGAUAAGCAAUUGAAUCACCUGAUUAUAUACAAUAUUACUGUAUUAUCAAACUGUAUCAAGCAAACUCUUUUAUGAAAGCCUGUGACACACUGGUGAUUAAUAUCAUUGUGAAAUGUCUGCAUUAACACUACGUGAGGAAUUAUGGAUACGCAGUGAUAUUAUGCUUUGAAGUCUGUGACCAAACACACGGAGAAAGAGGUACUCUCUCAGUCAGGAAGGAAAGCAACUAACAACCGGUCUGAAAUAUAAAUUAAACAUUCCUGAAUCAAAACAAUAGAAGCCCAUUUACAUACAAAUCAGUAAGGGAUGGGAAGUCAACAGGAAGGGAAUAACAGCAGGAAGCCUUCCUGACUCCUAUAACAUGGUUAAUGAAAUUUGGGAAAUAUGAGCAGAAACAGAAAGCUAUUUUGGGACCCACAACAUGGGGGAUCAAGCGGCCAGAGCUCUUGAUUUCAAGGGAGUUGAAGUCUCUGGAAACUAAAUACAGGUGUGUGGAUGCCCAGAGAUUGCAAUGUCGCCCUCAAGUCCUUAAGAGUGUGCAACGACUCAUCUGUUUUGUCCAUAAAAAGUUUGGAUCCCUUGAACGGUAAAGCAGAUGAUCCAGAAUAAACUGAAUAUGAGCCCAUGAAGGAGAACCUCAGCCCACAGCAAACUUCUUCCACUUCAAAAGGCCCAACGAAUGGAAAAGUGAUUGGAUCUUUUCAACACCUUCCUUCGCCUGCUGUCUGGACUCACCAGGAACCACCAAUUGUCUGGGUCUGGAUGUACCUGGACUCCCUGCUUUCAAGGUGUGUUGCCACCACUGCCACGUACUUCAUAAAAACUCAGGGCGCUGAGCUCAGACCGAAUGGAAGGGCCAGGAACUGAUAAUGGACACCUGCUACAACGGACCUUUCAAACUCCCUCUGACUCUUGGGUAUGGCCACACGAAGUAUAAUGAGGAUAGUGAACCAAUCGCUGUGAGACAAGGAAGAAACAGACACUUGGGUUACCAUACAAAACUAUCAUUUUUAUGUACCUGUUGAGGCUGAGAUCUAAAGUAAGCCUGAGGCUUCCCUGGGACUUUGGAAUGAAAAAAUAUCAGGAAUAGGAUCCCUUCCUCCGCUACUGAGGAAGCACUUCCUCUAUGGUCCCUAACUUUACCAGAGACUGAACUUCUUGAAUCAAUACACUGGUGCGUUCCCUGAAAAGAGAUGGGGAGUCCGGGUGGGGUGGGGGAAUACGGGUGAAUUGCAGGGUAUAUCCCAGUUACACCAUGGUCAGAACCUACCAAUCUGUUGUAAUAUGGGUCCAAGCCUUCAGGAAAUGGGACAACCUGCAGCCAAAGGGAGAAAAAAUCUCGGGCUACAUGUGCACGAGCACUUUUGUCAGUAUAACAUACGUCACUCAAGGGUGUGAAAAACACUCUCCUGCCAACAUAGCUACCGCCGCUCGUUGGGGGUGGUUUAAUUAUGUCAACAGGAGAACUCUCUCCCGUCAGCAUAGAGUGGCUACAUGAGUGAUCUUACCAAGGCACAGCUGCACUGGUACACUGUGCUGCUGAAAACUUGCUAGUGUAGACAUGGCCUCAGAAUAGUUUGUUGCCCUCAACCAAGAAGUCAAAUAGUCUGGUUGGAAGUAGAAGACCCUCUACUGGUAGCAGAUGGCAGAAGAGGAGAGGGAGGUGGUCUCUUCUUCUGAGACCUAUGACAUCUCCUGGAGUGAUCGGGCUGUCAGAGCAAAUAAAAUGGAUAUCUCUCUUGGACCAGAGGAUGAAACUUCUUUCUCUGUAUACCUGGGGUACAAAUACCUAAAGACUUCACCUGGAAUCUUUAAGAAAGUACAAAGCCUUGACUGCCUUGCCCAGAAAAAAAAAAAAAAAUUGGGCCCUGACAGGGCAAGGUCUCUAUUGUCUGUUGCAUUUCCACUGCUAUUCCCGACACCUGCCGCCAUAAAGCAUGAUGCCCAGUGACAGCUGUUGUCAUCACUUGAGCCAGUAAAUUGGUCUCAUCCAAAGCCCCCUGCAGAGAGGAGUGGGCUACCAAAUGGCCCUAUUUAUAAAGGCUAUAAACUCAUCUGGUAACUUGUCUUGAAACUUAGACAUUACAUCCCAAUUUGAAUGUUUGUGCCUGGCAAGCAACACUUGGUGGGCUGCUAUUCUAAACUGUAAUGCCCAAAGAAGAAUAAACUUUUCUCCAAAAGAAUUACAGGUUUUUUUGCAUCCUUAUCUUUGGGAGUAGAUUUAAUCCAUCCUUGUCUUGACUUCUCAUUCAUAAGAAUGUAAGAAUGGCCAUACUGAGUCAGCCCAGUGGCCCAUCUAGCCCAGUAUCCUACCUUCCGACAGUGUCUGGUGCCAGAUGCUUUCAGAAGGACUGAACAAAACAGGGCAAUUCAUUGAGUGAUCCAUCCCCUUUCAUCCAGUCCCAGCUUGUAGUAGUCAGAGGUUUAGGGACACCCUGAGCAUGGCCCAUUCACAACUGCCACCAGUAAUGCUCCAAGGGAAAAUAAAAAAAAAUUCCUGUAACUGUAAAGAUACUUGAUACCUUUUUUCUGUACAUUUAGCCAUAAUAAAGAAGAGGGAGGUCUGCAAAUGGAUUUUGGUUGGGUCCUAAAUCAUAUCAUUAAUAAGCAGGGCCACCUCAGCAGGGCCUGAUGAAUGCAAGAUAUCCAUGAGCUUGUGAGAGUUAUCUUGAACGAGCACUAGAUACCUAGAGAGGUAGCAACCCUCUUUGUAUGUCUUGUAGACAUCAGAGACUGCAGAUGACUGAUACAAUAGCCUCCUUGGGUGAUGAGGAGGCGUUAAGCAGUGGCACUGACAAGUCCAUCUGCUCCAGUGGUACAGAAGCCACCAUAAUAGGAUGAAUAAGAGUUGGAUGGACAAUCUGUACUGGUUACUGGGUACUGAGGUUAAAACUGGGAGGAAAAUGUUGUCUCAAUAGUGAUAUUGAGGCCUACUGCCAAGAAGAAGAGACCCUAGAGUCUGGGGAAACUCCCCCCAGGUUCCAGAAAGGCAUUGCUGCAUCUGGAGCCUAACUUCACGGCACAGUAGUCAUGGUAAUCAGAGCUGGGUCUGUGUACCAAGGAUCAUGGAGAUACUUGGGCCUUUCUGAAGUAGGACUCAGAUCUGUAGGAAUCCACCUCUGAAUUAGAUGAUGAAUCAACAUUGGAGUGCAAGAUGGCAUGGUGUGGAGAGGCAGGCAAAUGGGAAUGGGACCAAAGUCACCAAGGAUGGUACUGACAAAAGCAUUCAGGAUUUCCCUGAGGAAGGUACUGUACACUUGGCAUGGUGUGACAGAGUCCACUGCCAGUGGUAUUGGAUAUACCAGUACUAAAGUAGUUGACAGAGGUGGCACAUGCCACUGCAGAAGAUACAGAUUCCUACUGCAACUGAGGAGAGUCCAGUAUCAACAGGCACAAAAGGUCUCUUCUGUCCCAUACAACUCAGGUGUUGUCCAUACCGAUCAGGUAGUCUGUGAUAUAAAAACCAGCGCAGAAGGACCAGCAAUAGAGUCAAUUUCAACAGUGCCCUGUGAGGUGCCAGAGUCAAAAACUGAACAUUUCUAGAGUGCAGUACCACAGACCACCCUGCCAGGGUUGCUCCCACCUUGGUACGUAUCUGCUUGUAGAGAGUCUGAUUGGGAUCUAGACUUCAAAGGCGAUGACUUCUUCUGGUUGGAAGCAGUUGAUGUACUGAACUUCUUCUGGUGCUUACAAGGCACCGGGGACAGAAAAUUGUGCCUUCUCUCUCGAUCACUUUGGCACAGAGAAGCUACUCAGUCCAGUGGCGCACUCUAGGAUGGCACCAAAUCUGAAUCCUCACACAUCAAAUGCAAAGCAGCCUCCAUGAGACUAUGCUGAAGCUGCAACUUCCUUCAGCUUUUUAGUAUGGGUCUUAACCCCUCUGCAAAUAGGGCACUUAUUCCUAACAGAUCCCUCACCCAGAAACUUCAAGCAGCUGCAGUGGCGACUGCUGACUGGCACUGACCUAUUGCAUUCAUUCAGAACACCUGAAGCCUGGAGACUUGGCAUACCCUAGUGCUGAAACAAAGAUCAAGGGAAACAAAGAAUGAUAAGCUGAACGGAAACUUAUAACAAGUACUUCAAAUAGAACUAGAAAAAACUUUUUUACUAAAUAUUUACAUUAAAAACAUUUAGAGUUUUCUAAGGUACAAAGUGAGAAACUCGCAUGCUUGCUCCAACUACUGACCACAGACAGCAGGAGAAAUUGAGGGGGGUCGGAGAAGCGCUGCCCCUUUAUACUCUCAUGUAGCAGCACGAACAUGCAGAGGGCACAUGUACCACCCCGAUGGGUACCACUCUGGGAAAAAGUUCUCUGGCUUAAGUACAUUGGAGCACAGACCCCUAAAGUGGAAUGGACAUAUGCAAGCACUCAAAGAAGAAUUGUUAUUCUAACAUUUUAUUCAACUAUCAUCUUCAACCUAGCAUAAUUUUACUUUGCAAUGAUACCACACAAAGAAUUUUAUA